rnacentral:lncRNA from 1 species
CUCUUUCAAAUUAAUUCGUGGAUGAAGAACUUCAUUAUCUCUGAAGUUCUCCUUCUCUGUUAGUUUGUUCAGUGGUUCAUCGUUACCGGGGAUAAUCUGCAAUGGCAACGGAAAUGAACGUCCGUUGUUUGUUUUACUACACUGCACACAACGUUUGAACAAUAUGGUACCCGCAUGUGUUGUGUUGGCACAAGUUUUCUUCUCUCUAUUGAUGUCAAUGUAAUAUUACUGUAGGAGACACUGCUCGAACGUUUUAAAUGAAAUCGUGGUUUCAAUUUUUAUCAGAAGUUAACCAAUAUCUUAGCUAUGUUUUUGUCGGUGGACACGAGAAUGUACUUUUUGAGACUAUAGCCAUUCAACAAGUUGCUGCGCGACAUCAAACAUCAGAAUGUUUCUUAAGAAAUCCUGUAACAAUUGAAUAAAAUCAAUCAAUGGCCCUUAACUUUUAUCAAAGGAUUAUCGAUACAAUUAAUUAAAAGAAAGAAAAAAGAAAAAGGAACAAACUUUCAAUACCCAAAGACAAGAUGGUUUGUUUAAUGAUAUCUAAAUGUAGUGAAUGGAUUAAAGAACACCCCAACACAG